GUCUAUGGAUAUGCUACCCCGAACAAACCCAAUAUCCGUCUGAUCUCGGAAGCUAAGUAGGGUUGGGCCUGAUUAAUACUUGGAUGGGAGACCACCUACGAAGACCAGGUGCUGUAGGCA
rnacentral:rRNA from 1 species